GCGGUUAUGGUUUAAUGGUAGAACACGUCCUUGCCAAGGAUGAGAUUCGGGUUCGAUUCCCGGUAGCCGCACCA
rnacentral:tRNA from 4 species